rnacentral:sRNA from 1 species
GCUGGGUGUGGUGGUGCAUGCCUGUAAUCCCAGAGACUUAGGAGGCUGAGGCAGGAGGAUUAUAAGUUGGAGACCACCUUUAGUAAUUUAGCAAGACCCUAAGCACUUUAGUGAGAUCCUGUCUCAA